rnacentral:rRNA from 1 species
GACGAACGCUGGCGGCGUGCUUAACACAUGCAAGUCGAGCGGAGACAUGGGACGGAAAGCUUCGGCCGGAAGACCCAUGUUUUAGCGGCGGACGGGUGAGUAACGCGUGAGCAACCUGUCCUUCACAGGGGGAUAAGAUACCGAAAGGUGUUCUAAUACCGCAUAAGACCACAGCAUCGCAUGAAGCAGAGGUCAAAGGAGCAAUCCGGUGAAGGGUGGGCUCGCGUCCGAUUAGAUAGUUGGUGAGGUAACGGCCCACCAAGUCAACGAUCGGUAGCCGACCUGAGAGGGUGAUCGGCCACAUUGGGACUGAGACACGGCCCAAACUCC